rnacentral:rRNA from 1 species
GACGAACGCUGGCGGCGUGCCUAACACAUGCAAGUCGAACGGAGUUGCUCCUUCGGGAGUAACUUAGUGGCGAACGGGUGAGUAACGCGUGAGAAACCUGCCUUUCAGUGGGGGACAACAGUUGGAACGACUGCUAAUACCGCAUAAUGUAUCGAUGGGGCAUCCUGUUGAUACCAAAGCUUAAUGUGCUGAAAGAUGGUCUCGCGUCUGAUUAGCUAGAUGGCGGGGUAACGGCCCACCAUGGCGACGAUCAGUAGCCGGUCUGAGAGGAUGAACGGCCACAUUGGGACUGAGAUACGGCCCAGACUCCUACGGGAGGCAGCAGUGGGGAAUAUUGGGCAAUGGGGGGAAACCCGUGACCCAGCAACGCCGCGUGAAGG